rnacentral:piRNA from 1 species
UCUUUGUCUUCUAUGUUUGCUCUGGUCU